AACGAACGCUGGCGGCAGGCCUAACACAUGCAAGUCGAACGCCGUAGCAAUACGGAGUGGCAGACGGGUGAGUAACACGUGGGAACGUACCCUUCGGUUCGGAAUAACUCAGGGAAACUUGAGCUAAAACCGGAUACGUCCGAGAGGAGAAAGAUUUAUCGCCGAGGGAUCGGCCCGCGUCUGAUUAGCUUGUUGGUGAGGUAACGGCUCACCAAGGCGACGAUCAGUAGCUGGUCUGAGAGGAUGAUCAGCCACAUUGGGACUGAGACACGGCCCAAACUCCUACGGGAGGCAGCAGUGGGGAAUCUUGCGCAAUGGGCGAAAGCCUGACGCAGCCAUGCCGCGUGAAUGAUGAAGGUCUUAGGAUUGUAAAAUUCUUUCAGUGGGGACGAUAA
rnacentral:rRNA from 1 species